rnacentral:rRNA from 1 species
UACGUAGGGUGCAAGCGUUGUCCGGAAUUAUUGGGCGUAAAGAGCUUGUAGGCGGUUUGUCGCGUCUGCUGUGAAAUUUCGGGGCUCAACCCCGAACUUGCAGUGGGUACGGGCAGACUAGAGUGUGGUAGGGGAGAGUGGAAUUCCUGGUGUAGCGGUGAAAUGCGCAGAUAUCAGGAAGAACACCCGUGGCUAAGGCGGCUCUCUAGUACGGUACUGACGCUGAGACGCGAAAGCGUGGGGAGCGAACAGG